rnacentral:lncRNA from 1 species
UUAGAGUGGGAUGGUCGACGUAGCAUGAUGUAGUAGGGAAGCAAACAAAACCUUCGAGCUUAUGGUUGUUAUGUAAUUGGGUCGAGUUUCAUUGCGAUGGUGUUAGUUGGAGCAACUGGUUGCUGUUGUUGUUAACAAAAGCACUGUUUAAGCAAUCCUUGAUUGAGUCAAGGAGAUCCUACGGAGCUAUAAUUCAAGACUUCUUGGCUGUUGGUUCCUCAAGUCAAUUGUAGCCAUGUAUCAAGGAUCCCUUAGCUAAUUCCCUUUUGCUCUUCUCGUCCCAUCGUGGGGCUGCAACUAUCCAGUUAUUGAUCCCUGAUUCUUCUCUUGUGGUUGACACAAUUCCAGCAAGUCGUAUAGUUCAGCGACGUUCUUAGCAUUGCAUCUUCGUGUAGUUGCUCUCAAUUGAAUUUGGCGAUUGAGGCAGUGGAUCAGUAGUUGUUUGUCUUUUUCUCCUAGUAGUAGUUGUAGUGGGAGACUU